rnacentral:rRNA from 1 species
GAUGAACGCUCGCGAUAGGCUUAACACAUGCAAGUCGAGGGGCAGCAUGGUCUUAGCUUGCUAAGACUGAUGGCGACCGGCGCACGGGUGCGUAACGCGUAUGCAACUUGCCUCACAGAGGGGGAUAACCCGUCGAAAGACGGACUAAUACCGCGUACACUUGGGAUAGGGCAUCCUGACCCAAGGAAAUGAAAUUCGCUGUGAGAUAGGCAUGCGUCCCAUUAGCUAGUUGGUGAGGUAACGGCUCACCAAGGCGACGAUGGGUAGGGGAACUGAGAGGUUGAACCCCCACACUGGUACUGAGACACGGACCAGACUCCUACGGGAGGCAGCAGUGAGGAAUAUUGGUCAAUGGGCGAGAGCCUGAACCAGCCAAGUCGCGUGAAGGAUGACUGUCUUAUGGAUUGUAAACUUCUUUUAUACGGGAAUAACAAGAGCCACGUGUGGCUCCCUGCAUGUACCGUAUGAAUAAGCAUCGGCUAACUCCGU